rnacentral:lncRNA from 1 species
GCCGUUGAUCUUCGGUUGAACGGUUGGUAGCCUUCCUGGUCACCCACAUCCGGCCGGAGUUGGGCACCGGUUCGGUGGCGCCAUGGCCACCGCCCGGAAGCUCGCCGGAAGCUCGCCGGCUUCUCGUUUCCGAGCACCGUUUCCAGAAAGAAAAACACCGGGAUGAAGAGGAGCUCACCACGAUCUCGUCUAAGCGCUUGGUUGGGUCCGAGAGCUAGCAGAGGGGCGUGUCCACGCGCGGCGGCGAAAAGGGCUCCCGGCGAGAUCCAGAACUCGCGAAACAAGGCACGGGGACUCGGUUUUGGCGACCUAGAUGCGAAAACAUGACGAGGGAGCGAUGCUGGAAGCUUUAUAGUGGUCAGUUUGCGCGCUUGGCAAGGAAAUCCCGAGAACUCGGGCCUCGGUUCGAUCCGGCCGAGUCCGUCUCGCCCACGACGCUGGGAAGAAGAUGGGAGGGGCGAGACACUGCCGGGUGGGGUCAGUUGUCAGCGACUGAGAGAGAAAGGGGGAGGCGCUGUGCUGCGGGGCCGGCUCGUCAGCGAGCCAAGGCAGAGGGGCGCGGGGGAGGGGAGCUGGGCCUCGGCCUGGAAGGCUUCCUUUCUUUUUUUUUCUGUUUUGUUUUAUUCUUUUUUUUUUAAAACCUUUUUCAAAAAGGAUUUUGAGGACAAUUAAAUAUAAACUAAAUACAAUCAACACAAAAUAAAAUAUGUCUCAGCAUGAAUGCACAAAAUCAUGUUACUAAGCUUAUGAUAAAUUUUAAAUUUCCACAAAAUUGUUUAUUUGCUACAUUAAAUGCUCACUAAAAUUCUUAAAUAAUUCAAAUUAAAUCCUAUUAAUUGAAAUUCAAAAUUUGGAUGUUACAAAUAUCCUAAACAUGUUUUAUGUAAAUGAAGCUUAUAGUUUUCUUCUUUUAUAUAAUCUUUUGGUUGUCGUUUCUUUUGAACCAUAGCUCCGAUUAGAGUGCUUUUUCGUCUGUGUGUUUGUAGCAAUGUGUAGAUUAGUUUUUUCAAACCUUUUUCUUUAUUGAUUGGUGUACUGUUUUAAUUUAUUUAUAUUGCUUGCUUCGUGUAUGAUUGUGUAGAUGCUUGUGUGGUGCUUUGUGAUCAUGUCCGGUCGGUGAGCUUUACGUGGUGAUCAAGAAACAGAUCAUUGAAGGUUUGGAACUAGAAGAAGGAUCUAAGUUUAAGGCAAGUAUAGCAUGGGAUCAUCCUUGUUUCCUAACAACUUUAAUCACACCAUUUAUAUUGCAUGUGUCUUUUUGUUAAGGAUUUCCUAGAAUUGAUCUUAUACCUUGUCACCUAUGGUUUUGCAUUGGGUAGCUUAUGCUAGUGCUCCACUAAACCAUGAUCUUGUAAUUUGAUUAAUGGAAUAUGCAAUGAACAUUAAAAGAUGACUUUUUAGCAACUUUGGAAAAGAGGGCUGGAGCAUUGGGCUAUCUUAUGGUGCUCUAGUUUCUCUCCAUAAGGACUUAUUUGUAUCUGACCAUCCGGGACAUACAGUACAACUGUGAGGGCUACAUGGCUCUGGCUUUAGCUCAGUAUGAGGACCUUUUCUAGCUUGUUAGUGGUUACCCUUGUGGCGCAAAUGGGGAAUAGCAGACCAUGGAUUCCUGCGGGUGAAUCACAUUGACUGACUAAUGAAACCAAACGGCCCUAACUUGUUAGACGAACCUUUGAAAGGUUUCAUAGUGAACCCUGUCGGCCUCCCUAGGAAGAGGGUUAAGAGACUCAUGACCUCGGACGUAAGGGUAAAUCACGACUCACAGUGAAAGUGUACAACCUCUGCAGAGUGUAAAACUGAUAUAUCAGCUGUGCUCACGGUCACGAGCGGCCUUAGACCAAUACAGAAUAAAUGAUCACUAAUGGC